UCCCCCCAACCCCUCUUUCUUCUUACAAGUUGGGAAACAAGAGAAGGACCGUAAAUAGUAACUUAGUAGGAUUGGGAAAUUGGAGGAAAUUGGGAAAUUCGAAUAGAUCUAGAGAGAGAUGAAAUUGAACUUUAGUGGGAUUGGGGAUGAGACUUCUGCUUAUCUAGAGUGUUACCGCCAUCUGUUGGGGCGCAGCGGACGAGAAUAGAGUAAAUA
rnacentral:lncRNA from 1 species